rnacentral:tRNA from 1 species
GGGCUCUUGGCACAGGGGCAGCACACAUGCUUUGCAUUAGGCCUCAAAGUUGAGAAAAAUUUGAUGCAUGCAUGAGGUUGUGGGUUCAAAUCCCACAGUGUCCA